CCUGACUGCUAUCGGGAUACGACUAAGCCAUGCAAGUCGAAUGGUUCUCGCAACCAUGGCGUACGGCUCAGUAACACGUAGACAACCUACCCUCAGGUAGGGGAUAAUCCCGGGAAACUGGGCAUAAUCCCCUAUAGAUAACUUGCGCUGGAAUGCCUUGUUAUUCAAACCUCCGGGGCCUGAGGAUGGGUCUGCGGCGGAUUAUGGUAGUAGGUGGGGUAACGGCCCACCUAGCCUGUGAUCCGUACCGGACAUGAAAGUGUGUGCCGGGAGAUGGCCACUGAGACAAGGGGCCAGGCCCUACGGGGUGCAGCAGGCGCGAAAACUCUGCAAUGCGCUCACGCGUGACAGGGGAAUCCCGAGUGCGUCCUUAGCCGGACGCUUUUCUCGAGUGUAAAUAGCUCUUGGAAUAAGGGGAGGGCAAGGCUGGUGCCAGCCGCCGCGGUAAAACCAGCUCCCCGAGUGGUCAGGAUGAUUAUUGGGCCUAAAGCGUCCGUAGCCGGGCAUGCAAGUCGCUAGUUAAAGCACGGGUCUUAAGCCCGAACCUGCUAGCGAUACUACACGCCUUGGGACCGGAAGAGGCAGAUGGUACGUUAGGGGUAGGGGUGAAAUCCUGUAAUCCUUAACGGACCACCGGUGGCGAAGGCGAUCUGCUGGGACGGAUCCGACGGUGAGGGACGAAACCCAGGGGAGCGAGCGGGAUUAGAUACCCCGGUAGUCCUGGGCGUAAACGAUGCGGGCUAGGUGUUAGGGUGGCUACGAGCCACUCUAGUGCCGCAGCGAAGGCAUUAAGCCCGCCGCCUGGGGAGUACGGCCGCAAGGCUGAAACUUAA
rnacentral:rRNA from 1 species